AAAUCAAUAAUAAAUACAGGUGAUAAUCUUUAAGGAUUAUUAGAGGGAAGCAGGUGAAAUUCCUGCACGGUCCCGCCGCUGUAUAAGAGGAGUCUCAAUACAAAGCCACUGGUUAACCGGGAAGGGUAUUGAGGUGAUGAUACUUGAGUCAGAAGACCUGCCUGUAUUUCUACGCCAGC
rnacentral:ncRNA from 1 species